AGUGAGUUCAAGGCCAGCCUGAACUCCAUAGAGAGGCGCAUCCCCUCCCCUUCCCUCCGCCCGCCCGGUACCCCGCUGAAGGUCAGCCGCGCUUUGUUCCCGCCUCGGCCUCCUCCCCGUUCUCCGGCGCGCACGUGCAGCUGGACACCGCGCCCCCAGCCUCGCGGAGCGCUCCAACCGGACGAACGGGACGGAGGGUCCUGCCUGUAGGACGGGUCGUGAGCCCCGGCGGCGCGACGGGUUACGGUCUCUGUCUAAGCCCGAUUAGGCGGCGGGAUGACAGACCAUGCUUAGUGUCUGGUAAUGGCAGAUUCCAACAUUUAUCCCUUAGGGCCCUAAGGUGCGUCGCUUCGUCUGUUGGGGUCUUUGUGGCUUCUUGGGCUUCUCUGCUUUCUCAGAGGAAUGGGGGUGGUGGUGAAUAGGUUGAUGCUUUUUCGCCUAACUACUGUUGCCUUUUGAAACAAGUCCUACUCGUCUUAGUGCGCUUCGGUAUAUAAAAAACAAGCCUAUGGAAGUUGUCUUGUAUUAAAAAUGUGCAAGUAUGGCGAUUAAGUAGUUGGCCCUGAAAAGUUAAGUACAAUAUUUUUAAGUUACUGCUUUCUUGCAGUAGUAAGACUAUACUUCUGAAUGACUAACCGCUUCCUACACACCAGGGGCUCCUCUCAGCUCUCUGCAUGUAUUAAGUCAUGUCAUACUAAUUAAUCUAUGCAGUUUAAAUAGCUGUCCCUUACCUGAAAUGCUUGGGACCCAAAGUGUUUCCGAUUUUGGAGUUUUUCAAGUUUUGAAAUAUUUACAUAGACUUAAGAGAUGAGCUUCCUUAAUCUGGAAAUUCGAAAUCUGACAAUGCUGAAAAAAUUACAGGUUUUGAAGUGUUUAAGAUUUUUGGUGUAGGAAUCCUCAAACCUGUAUUGUUUCUCAUUUUGUGGCUGGGGAAACUGAGGCCCUGAGAUGUUAAUGUAAUGAAUUACCCAAGAUGACAGAGCUUGGAUUAAAACCCUUAUAGUUUUAACUUUGUCUAGAUUUCCUGCUUCUUCCGAGGAAAUGAAAAGUUGCAAUGGGGCAUGCAUUAAUAUAAUCUCAGCAGUGGUUUAUAAUCCUAGAGGCCUAGAAUCCCAGUCCUUGGGAGGCUGAGUCAGGAGGAGCACUGCGAGUUCAAGGCCAGCCUGGGCUAUAUAGUUGGAGGCCAGCCUGGAUUAUAUAGCUUCAAAGCAAUAACGACAAAAAGAUUUUAAGGGGAAAUUACAUUAUCUUUAUUGUACUGAGCCUAACUGAACUCUGGCUUUUGAGGACUUGAGUUGGAUGAUC
rnacentral:lncRNA from 1 species